GCCGCUGAUGAUCAGGAGUAGUUAGGAGGUUCCCAGGUAGGAGGCCUCGCCUCGUUCGAUCGUUGUAUCUUUUGUGCUAGCCUUCUCUAAGGCACCCCAUGUUGUUUUAUGUCUGUACUCAGAUAUCUGUUGCUUCCGCUGACUCGUGUGUUUAUCGAGCUUUCGUAUUCUAGCCCUCGAGGCCCCUGGCUUGUAAUAUGAAGCUGAUGUUAUUUUAUUUGUGUCUAGAGUUGUGUUGUG
rnacentral:lncRNA from 1 species